rnacentral:rRNA from 1 species
GAAGGGACUAGCGUAGUUCGGAAUUACUGGGCUUAAAGAGCACGUAGGUGGUUAAGAAAGUUGGUGGUGAAAUCCCAAGGCUUAACCUUGGAACUGCCACCAAAACUUUUUAACUAGAGUAUGAUUGAGGUAAGCGGAAUUUCUAGUGUAGAGGUGAAAUUCGUAGAUAUUAGAAAGAACACCAAUUGCGAAGGCAGCUUUCUGGAUCAUUACUGACACUGAGGUGCGAAAGCAUGGGUAGCGAAGAGGAUUAGAUACCCUCGUAGUCCAUGCCGUAAACGAUGUGUGCUAGACGUUGGGAAUUUAUUUUUCAGUGUCGCAGCAAAAGCGAUAAGCACACCGCCUGGGGAGUACGACCGCAAGGUUAAAACUCAAAUGAAUUGACGGGGACCCGCACAAGUAGUGGAGCAUGUGGUUUAAUUCGAAGAUACGCGCAGAACCUUACCAACACUUGACAUGUUCGUCGCGACUCUAAGAGAUUAGAGUUUUCGGUUCGGCCGGACGAAACACAGGUGCUGCAUGGCUGUCGUCAGCUCGUGUCGUGAGAUGUUGGGUUAAGUCCCGCAACGAGCGCAACCCUUACUUUUAGUUGCUACCAUUUAGUUGGGCACUCUAAAAGAACUGCCAGUGAUAAGCUGGAGGAAGGUGGGGAUGACGUCAAGUCCUCAUGGCCCUUAUGUGUUGGGCUACACACGUGCUACAAUGGUAUUUACAGUGGGAUGCAAAGAGGCAACUCCUAGCCAACCCUUAAAGAAUACCUCAGUUCGGAUUGUACUCUGCAACUCGAGUACAUGAAGCUGGAAUUACUAGUAAUCGCGGAUCAGCGCGCCGCGGUGAAUACGUUCCCGGGUCUU